GACGUAGGGGCGCGAGCGUUGCUCGGAAUCACUGGGCGUAAAGCGCACGUAGGCGGACUCUUAAGUCGGUGGUGAAAUCCUGGAGCUCAACUCCAGAACUGCCUUCGAUACUGAGAGUCUCGAGUCCGGGAGAGGUGAGUGGAACUGCGAGUGUAGAGGUGAAAUUCGUAGAUAUUCGCAAGAACACCAGUGGCGAAGGCGGCUCACUGGCCCGGUACUGACGCUGAGGUGCGAAAGCGUGGGGAGCGAACAGG
rnacentral:rRNA from 1 species